ACUCAAAUGAAUUGACGGGGGCUCACACAAGCGGUGGAGCAUGUGGCUCAAUUCGAAGCAACGCGAAGAACCUUAUCCUGGAUUUGACAUGGUAGAAGUAGAAUGCGGAAACGUAAACGACCGGUAUCCAGUCCGGAACUAUCACAGGUGCUGCAUGGCUGUCGUCAGCUCGUGCUGUGAAGUGUCGGGUUAAGUCCCAUAACGAGCGAAACCCCUAUUGUUAGUUGCCAGCGAGUCAAGUCGGGCACUCUAACAAGACUGCCGGUGUUAAACCGGAGGAAGGCGGGGAUGACGUCAAGUCCUCAUGGCCUUUAUAUCCAGGGCUGCACACGUGCUACAAUGCCGAUGACAAACCGAAGCAAGACCGUAAGGUGGAGCGAAUCGGAGAAAAAUCGGCCCAGUUCAGAUUGAGGGCUGCAACUCGCCCUCAUGAAGUUGGAAUCGCUAGUAAUCGCGGAUCAGCUACGCCGCGGUGAAUGUGUUCCUGAGCCUUGUACACACCGCCCGU
rnacentral:rRNA from 1 species